UUGGUACAGUCCAGCUUCGUGCCUCUAGCUUCGUGCCUCAAAUUUGGAUUGCAGGAUUAGUAAUAUUUUGGGGUACAGUGGUAUGGUGUGAAGAAAUUAAGGCACGCUAUGGAGAAACUGGACGAAAUAACAAUUGCCACCCUGAAAGAAGCAAAUGUUGGAGAAGACCUGCUCUCAUCACUGUCACGAGAUGACAUCAAAGAUCUGUUUCCUGGUCCUGAACAUUUCCUCAGGCGUCGGGCUCUAUGGCUUGCAGUGCACAAAUGUGAAAAAAAGACCCUGAAGGCUACCUGCGUCAGCGACCCCUGGCUUGUCCAGUUCUGCUUGUCUCUGAAGGCAACUGCAUGAUAGCUGUUGGAAGCACACCGGUGAGCACUUUUGACCGGAAGGAUCUUAAUGAGGGACUGCUCUAUCUGAUGGCAUAUUACUAUGCCCUCCACCUCACAUAUCCAAAGUGCAUUUCCACGCUGCUGUCUGUCUUGCAAACUGAAAUACUCAAAGACUCCAUCCAUGACUGAGAUUCAACCCCCUCUUACAGGAAGGCUCUUGGUGAGUGGAAGUCAUUCAUUGAGUGAGUCUCUCAGAUGACAGACUCCAUCUGCCUUGUUUAUCAGACUCAGUGUUAGUCAGUGAGGUUUUUUUUUUUUCUCUAGAAAAGUUGUUCAAAUGGAAAACACGUUUGUUUGUGUGGUCGUUAAACUUGUUCUUCUAAAAUGUUAUGUAAUAUAGGAUUUGAAAUAGUGAUUGUUUUAAGCUUCAGCAAAAUUUAUUUUUGAUACCAGCCAUGAGUGUGUUAUACUGUUAUUAUUUAUGUUAAGAGUAUCUGGAAUAUGCACUUCUUGUAUUGGCCAUGUUACACAGUACCCUGCUGAAAUGUAUAAUUUUAGACAUGAUUCUCCUGGAACAGACCUCAGUGAGUUACUGACCCAUU